CUACGGGAGGCAGCAGUGAGGAAUAUUGGGCAAUGGGCGCAAGCCUGACCCAGCAACGCCGCGUGGAGGAAGACGGCCUUUGGGUUGUAAACUCCUUUUGUCGGGGAAGAGGAAGGACGGUACCCGGCGAAUAAGUCACGGCUAACUACGUGCCAGCAGCCGCGGUAAUACGUAGGUGACAAGCGUUAUCCGGAAUUACUGGGCGUAAAGCGCACGCAGGCGGCCGAUCAAGUCUGACGUGAAAUCUCCUGGCUUAACUGGGAGGGGUCGUUGGAAACUGGUUGGCUUGAGGUGGUGAGAGGGGUGUGGAAUUCCCGGUGUAGUGGUGGAAUGCGUAGAUAUCGGGAGGAACACCAGUGGCGAAAGCGGCACCCUGGCACUGACCUGACGCUCAUGUGCGAAAGCGUGGGGAGCAAACGGGAUUAGAUACCCCGGUAGUCCACGCCGUAAACGAUGAGUACUAGGUGUGGGUGGAGUCAAAUCUAUCCGUGCCGAAGCAAACGCGCUAAGUACUCCGCCUGGGGAGUACGGCCGCAAGGCUAAAACUCAAAGGAAUUGACGG
rnacentral:rRNA from 1 species